rnacentral:lncRNA from 1 species
CAGGGGCGAGCGAGUCGCGAUCUCGGCUCAUUUUCUCUAAGCAAUACAAGUUCACGGACGCGCUACCUAGCCAGCCCUCUUCUCCCGUCAUGGACCUCCCAGGCUGCGCGCCACCCGCCCUCUGAGGAGGCUCCUUCGCCCCGCGCGGAGGAAGAGGAGGAGGAGGAGGAGGAGGCGGAGGAGGAGGAUAAGGAUAAGGGAGGAAGGCGCGGCCCCAGCCGCCGCCGCCCAGCCGCCGUCCCGCAGAGCGCUGGCCGCGGGGCGCCGCGGCGGCAGCAGGCGCGCAGC